rnacentral:rRNA from 1 species
UACGUAGGUGGCAAGCGUUGUCCGGAUUUACUGGGCGUAAAGAGCGCGCAGGCGGUCGUGCAAGUCGCGUGUGAAAGCCCCCCGGCUCAACUGGGGAGGGUCACGCGAUACUGCUCGACUGGAAGGCAGGAGAGGGAAGUGGAAUUCCCCGGUGUAGUGGUGAAAUGCGUAGAUAUCGGGAGGAACACCAGUGGCGAAGGCGACUUCCUGGCCUGUUCUUGACGCUGAGGCGCGAAAGCUAGGGUAGCAAACGGG